GAUGAACGCUAGCGGCAGGCUUAAUACAUGCAAGUCGAGGGGCAGCACAGAUAGCAAUAUUGGGUGGCGACCGGCAAACGGGUGCGGAACACGUACACAACCUUCCUUUUGGUGGGGGAUAGCCUUUGGAAACGGAGAUUAAUACCCCAUAAGAUAUUGUGACCGCAUGGUUAUGAUAUUAAAGAUUUAUUGCCAGAAGAUGGGUGUGCGUAUGAUUAGGUAGUUGGUGAGGUAAAGGCUCACCAAGCCGACGAUCAUUAACUGGUGUGAGAGCACGACCAGUCACACGGGCACUGAGACACGGGCCAGACUCCUACGGGAGGCAGCAGUAAGGAAUAUUGGUCAAUGGACGGAAGUCUGAACCAGCCAUGCCGCGUGGAGGAUGAAGGUCCUCUGGAUUGUAAACUUCUUUUAUAUGGGGCGAAAAAGGGCCAUUCUUGGUCAACUGACGGUACCAUAUGAAUAAGCACCGGCUAACUCCGUGCCAGCAGCCGCCGUAACAC
rnacentral:rRNA from 1 species